AGCGAACGCUGGCGGCAGGCCUAACACAUGCAAGUCGAACGAACUCUUCGGAGUUAGUGGCGGACGGGUGAGUAACCCGUGGGAACGUGCCUUUUGGUUCGGAAUAACUCAGGGAAACUUGUGCUAAUACCGAAUGUGACCUUCGGGGGAAAGAUUUAUAGCCAUUAGAGCGGCCCGCGUCUGAUUAGCUAGUUGGUGAGGUAACGGCUCACCAAGGCGACGAUCAGUAGCUGGGCAGAGAGGAUGACCACCCACACUGGGACUGAGACACGGCCCGGACUCCUGCGGGAGGCAGCAGUGGGUGAUCUAGCGCAAUGGGCGGAGUCCUGACGCAGCCAUGCCGCGUGAAUGAUGAAGGUCUUAGGAUUGUAAAAUUCUUUCACCGGUGACGAUAAUGACGGUACCCGGAGAAGAAGCCCCGGCUAACUUCGUG
rnacentral:rRNA from 1 species